rnacentral:rRNA from 1 species
CCUACGGCUGGCAGCAGUGGGGAAUAUUGGACAAUGGGCGAAAGCCUGAUCCAGCCAUGCCGCGUGUGUGAAGAAGGCCUUCGGGUUGUAAAGCACUUUCAGUGGGGAAGAAAGCCUUGGGGCUAAUACCCUCGAGGAAGGACAUCACCCACAGAAGAAGCACCGGCUAACUCCGUGCCAGCAGCCGCGGUAAUACGGAGGGUGCGAGCGUUAAUCGGAAUUACUGGGCGUAAAGCGCGCGUAGGCGGUCUGAUAAGCCGGUUGUGAAAGCCCCGGGCUCAACCUGGGAACGGCAUCCGGAACUGUCAGGCUAGAGUGCAGGAGAGGAAGGUAGAAUUCCCGGUGUAGCGGUGAAAUGCGUAGAGAUCGGGAGGAAUACCAGUGGCGAAGGCGGCCUUCUGGACUGACACUGACGCUGAGGUGCGAAAGCGUGGGUAGCAAACAGGAUUAGAUACCCCGGUAGUC